GGACUACUGGGUAUCUAAUCCUGUUUGCUCCCCACGCUUUCGCACCUGAGCGUCAGUGUUGGUCCAGGAAGUCGCCUUCGCCACUGGUGUUCCUCCGCAUCUCUACGCAUUUCACCGCUCCACGCGGAAUUCCACUUCCCUCUACCACACUCUAGUCUGGCAGUUUCAAAUGCAGUUCCCAGGUUAAGCCCGGGGCUUUCACAUCUGACUGACCAGACCGCCUACGCGCGCUUUACGCCCAGUAAUUCCGAUUAACGCUUGCACCCUCAGUAUUACCGCGGCUGCUGGCACUGAGUUAGCCGGUGCUUCUUCUGUAGGUACCGUCAAGGACCAGGGGUAUUAUCCCUGACCUUUUCUUCCCAACUGAAAGGGCUUUACAACCCUAAGGCCUUCUUCACCC
rnacentral:misc_RNA from 1 species